AGCCCCAAAUUUGUGGGGAAAAGGAUAAUAACAACAAUGACAAGAGCAAAUAUUUAGAUUGUACGCCACUUCCCAGCUUUCAGUCACACAAAUAUUUGCCAUUUGUUCACUCUUCCAAGCUAGAUUUUCUGAAGACAUUUGAGCACAGUGGAGUCUCUGUUGAAAAUGCAUGGGUGUUGAAAAGCGAAUGAAGUAACUCACUACCUGUAGCGAUAACACUGCCUCUUCUAUGCUCAAAGAAAGCAUUAUAAAAUAGCUGUGGCAAUUUUAUUUACAGUUAACUCUGCCAGCCAAAUCCUUUUUCUUAUUAACUUGAAACAGUUUUUUUAAACAUAAAUACUUCCACCAAGAUAUUCUGUUUUUUAAAAGAAGACUAUCGUUUUGCAAACUGCUGAUAAAUGCUGCUACUGCACAUUUAAUAGUUAUGAUUGUAUUAAAUUGGCAUGCUUGCCAGUUGUGCAAUUCAUGUCUUAUAUUAACUUUAUUCCUCUUCCCCUUGGCAUACUGGAUAGCAGAAUACACAACAGUAACACUACUCGGUCUACACAGUUUGUUUCAAACAUGGUGUAGAAGGAUAGCAAUAAAUAAAUAUGUAUGUGAUUAAUUAAUGUUUUGCAUUUCUUUCAGUUCCAGUGCCAUUUAUACAUGGCAAGAUGCAAGAGAAAAUAUUUGCUGUUACUCAAUCUUUCUCCCCAAAAUUGGAUUUUCUGGCACUUUGGAAAUGCAGCAAGAAAAAAACAAAUACAUGGGCAGAUUGGUCCAUCCAUCGACAAUCCAUGAAGCGAUACUCCUACGCCAUCAACUCAGCUGGACUGGCCACGUUGUCCGAAUGCCCGAUCACCGUCUCCUAAAGCAGUUGCUCUACUCUGAACUCAAGGAUGGGAAACGAAAUGUUGGUGGGCAAGAAAAGAGAUUUAAAGAUGGGCUUAAAGCCAACCUUAAAAACUGUGGCAUAGACACUGAGAACUGGGAAGCCCUGGCCGUUGAGCACUCUAAUUGGAGGUCAGCUGUGAACAGCAGUGCUGCGGAGUUCAAAGAGGCACGAAUGGAGGGCUUAAGGGAGAAACGUGCCAAGAGGAAGGCCCGUCAAGCCAACCCUGACUGAGACCGGCUUCCACCUGGAAACCGAUGUCCUCACUGCGGGAGAACAUGCAGAUCAAGAAUAGGUCUCUUCAGCCACCUAAGAAGCCAUCCCCAAGACCCCACAGAUGGAAGACAAUCAUCCUCGAACUACGAGGGAUCGCCUAAUGAUAACAAUAACUAGAUUGGUAUGUGGUACUAGUAUAAUAAAAUGUGUUGAGAGGUAUCUAAAUGAACAUGGAAUUUACCAACCACAAAAAUUUGUGGGUAAUCAGAAGGCUUGUUGCCACUGGACAAUCACUGGAAAUUGUAAGGUGCUUUUUUAAAUCAAUAGAUACAAUGAUGGACUUCUACAUGCAUGUUUGAUGGUAACUUAGUCUGCACUCACUUUCACAAUAAAACAACCAGAUCAGACAAAGGCAAAUCUAGUGUGUAGUGUGUAUGUAUAUAGGUAUGCAUUUAUUUAAAAUAUUUACACCUGACCUUUCCAAAAUAAUGGUCAAAACCUCUAACAAUAUUAAAUAUUCAUCAAAGAAGUAAAAACAAUACAGCUAUGAAAAUAAACAGAAAAUUAAAGUCAAAUGUCAAGUAAUAGGAAAACAAACAAUUUGAGAAAAAUCUUCUCAAAGAUCCAGAAGGUCAACCAGAAGCAAAAUGAAAAUAGGUGCAGACUGUUUCGUAUGAACCAACUGUCUUUUCAAACUAGCUUCUCUCAAGCUUUGCGUUCUUAUGUUUCAGCUACAAUUCCCCUUAUCAUUUUUGGCCAUUAAUCAUACUGACUAGUGCACAUUUGAAAAUAUUUGGAUUAAAUUUCUAAACCAAAGGUAAGAAUCGUGUGGUCUUCCAGAUGUUUUUAAAUUACAACCCCCAAACUCCUCACAAUUGCUAAGUCUGGAUAGGACAGUUGAGAAUUGCAUUUCAACGAAAUCUGAUGGACUGCAGGGUUCCCCAAUUCUUGUCUAAACUGAAAGAUUUUCAUUCUAUAAUUUGGGGCUGUUAAAAAAGGAACAAGCAAGACUUUCAAAAGAAGGAAGCGGUAGAGAUCUUUGGGUGUGCCAUGCAAGAGAACCUACUUGUUGAAAGUUUAACAACUAGGGAGCAUACAAGGAAAGAUAGUUAUUCAGAUAAUUUAAUCUCCAACCAGUCAGAGUUCUGAAAAUAAUAAUUGAAAAUGAUCACUGAAAUAAUUUGGUAGCCAAUGAGGAAGCUAUAACAAUCAACACUUGUUUACAAUUGGUAUCUUACUGUGGGCCACUUCCCAGGCAUCCAGGAAACUAGCAGUAAUCUGGGUGUGGAAUCUGAAAUCAGUGCUAACAAGGAAGCUUAACCAUGAACACCAGAAACCCUGGCACUCAAGAUUUUGAACCUGUAGCAUUGCCCACAAAUCUGGCUCAUAACCUAGCACCAGCACUGGAAGAUCACAUCCUUCUGCAAGACCAAAACAAGUAGUACAUUGAUAUAAGCCCUUGAGGAAAUGGUGGAGUGAUACAUUCUGAGACCAAAAGUCCAGUUUGCGCAGGUAUCUCCUCUGUGAAACAGGUAGAACCUGUAAGGGUGGUCUGUCGAAAGGCCUUUCCGGUGGCUGCUCCCAGACUGUGCAACUCCCUCCCAAGAGAGACCAGAAUGGCUCCAUCCCUGCUGUCUUUCUGCAGAUAGGUCAAGACCUCCUGUCAGCAGGCAUUUGGGGAAGGAUAAGGGGCAGGCUUUGGGGAGGUGUGGAUAGGAUUGGGGGUGAGUUUUAAAGGCUAUUUUAAGUAUAUUUGUUUAUUUUAAUCUGCUUUUGCCACAUUGUUAUUAUUUAAUUGUUUUUUUAAGUUUUGUCAGACUACAAACAGAGGCACAACUAUGUGGCCCAAAUGAUUCAUUGGAACUUAUGCCUCAAGUACCACCUCCCAGCAGCAAAGAACUGGUGGGAUCACAAACCUGCAAAAGUAUUGGAAAAUGAGCACGCAAAGAUACUGUGGGACUUCCGAAUCCAGACUGACCAAGUUCUGGAACAGAACACACCAGACAUCACAGUUGUGGAAAAGAAAAAGGUUUGGAUCAUUGAUGUCGCCAUCCCAGGUGACAGUCGCAUUGACGAAAAACAACAGGAAAAACUCAGCCGCUAUCAGGACCUCAAGAUUGAACUUCAAAGAACUAUGGCAGAAACCAGUGCAAGUAGUCCCGGUGGUGAUCGGCACAUUGGGUACCAUGCCAAAAGAUCUUAGCCGGCAUUUGGAAACAAUAGACAUUGAUAAAAUCACGAUCUGCCAACUGUAAAAGGCCACCCUACUGGGAUCUGCAUGCAUCAUCCGAAAAUACAUCACACAGUCCUAGACACUUGGGAAGUGUUCGACUUGUGAUUUUGUGAUACGAAAUCCAGCAUAUCUAUCUAGUUUGCUGUGUCAUAAUAAAAUAAUAAUAAUAGAUGACCCAUGUGGUAUCUUUCAACGCUAUUAUUCUAGCCUAGACAAUUGUCUAAGGAAGCAGAAAACAUCCCUUCCCCAAAAUAAACUAUCCUGAAUGGCCAGUUUAUCACAUCUCCCAGCCCAUCUAGACGCUAACCCCAGAUUCAGGAGGUACGUUCUGGAUCUGAGGCGGUUCUGGGGCAGAUAACAACCAGAGUAACCUGCCUGAUGCAGAUGUGGGUUACUCUGGUAUAUAGUCUCAUAUCUUGUUACCUAUUACUAUCUGAAUCCAGCCCACUGGCUGAAAGCCUGCAUUGAGUUUCCAGGAAAGAACAAUAGCAAGAAAAAACAGUGGUAGACAAUGGGAGCCAAUAAGGUUCUGGUUCCUGACACAUCAGAUAGUUUGAGAAACUCAAUCCUAUGAUAUGCCUAGACAUUGUGAAUACACUUCUUUGAAUGUUUCCUCAUUCUUGAAACAAUUAGGAUAUGUAAGCUAGUUUCUGUAUUUUAUUCUUAUUCGUGAUGAAGCCCUGCUAUAAUAUUUGUUGUUCCCCAAAGCAUUCAUUGAGUAUAUUGUAAUGUUUGUGUGCUUAGUAAAUUUUCUUCUGAGAUA